rnacentral:lncRNA from 1 species
UACGGUGCUACAGUAUUUAUUUAUUUAUUUAUUUUUUUAAUUGUUGCUUGAAAACAAGAAACCGUUCGAUUAAAUUGUUGAUCACUUUGAUCUUUUCGAAUUAGCCAAAAACGAUCGAUAAAUCGUUCUACCGGUGGAAAAACAGUUUAGAAUACCCAAAUUUAUAAUUUUAAUCUUAAAAACAUGAGGAUGGCUCUGCUACCACUGUUAGAAAAUUGCGUACGGUAAAAACGCAGCGGAAAAAGAAAUCAAACAAAUUUGAUUUUUGAAAACCCUCGAGAUCCAAUCUCAAAAACUACGCAAUUAGGAUCCCUCAUGUCCUUUAAGAUUAAAGAAGAAAAACAAGAUCGAAUCUUUACCUUUUUCGCGGAUUGAUCUUUUCCUCAAUUUGAUGAUCGUGGAAUUCGGUUUUCUUGAAGCUGCACACGCGUCCGGCCUCUAUAGGUAUCCACACGAAGUUCUUGAUUUGAUCGAUGUCCUCACCGGGGUGCUAGCUCCCUUGCAAAAGGACGUCUUUCUUGCUAGAAGAUGGAAGAGAGAAGAGAGGAUAGAUGACGGCUUGGCUUUUCUAAAAACUCCCGUAUAUUAUAUAUAGGAAUAUAAUCCUAUUCCUAAUAAUAUAAUGACAAUUAAGGAUAAGUAUAAAUCUAGAUUUAAAUUUAUCUUUUCCUUAAUUAGUUAGAUCGAUCCAAUCCUAAUUUGAUUCGACUUGAAUUUUAUAUUAAUUUGAUCUUAUCAAAUUAAUAAUGCAAUAUUUGCACAUAAGUCCUC